CAAGGAUUUUUAUCUCAUUAUAAUUAACCUUAUUCUUAAUUCUAUUUACAAAUGUUGAUUUGCAAUGAAUUUCAUGAUUAGAACUUAUCAAGGGUGAAAAAUAGACAGGUUCUGAGGCCCAAAAGCUCUUGGGUGGUGUUGUCAUACAGACUUGACUGCUGAUAAAGUUAAAAUGAUGAUAGAAGAAUACUUAUACAAUGGGCUAAUUGUCAGAUUUAUAUGGUUCACAAGGUGUGCUCCAUAUUCAGGAACUUGUUCAUGGUUAGAGGUACAGUUCCAUAACCAUCAGUUACAAGUAAGGCAGUCUUAACUUUGCUAGUGAUGAGUAUAGACGGUUAAAUCCCCUUUUGACUCCCCCGAUCAAACGUUUAAUUUGUUUUGCAUGUGUUGAGCCAAUAAGGUAAUUAUCCAGUGGCGAGCUGUGCCCAGCUGAGCUCCUCCUGACGUGACAGGACAUGAUGUAGGAAUUACAUCUCCCUGCUGUCCUGGGAAAACUUGGUCAUCUCUGAGGAGGAGGAGGUUGCUGGAGGGAAAGGGAAGUUUCCUCGAUGCAUCACACACUUUGGCGCAUGAGCUCUGACCAGGAUAAGUGACUCAAAACAAGGUUCCUGAGAGAAAUAUCUGUUGCCCAUGUAGCUGCAGCAGAGAGAGAAGGACCUCAAGGGGAAGUGGGAGGCCUGGGUCUGCUCAACAGCCAGCUGGCCUCCCCUGGAAAAUACAAGAUGCCUUCCUGUGCCAGAAAUCUGCAGAGCAAGAGGGAGUAGUGAAUGAAAAAAGAGAAAAUGUUAGUGUAGAUGCUGCCGGCCAAGAAAGAGAAGAAGAAGAUGGUUCAUAUUCCUAAAACUCAGCAGUCUUCUGAAGAAGGGAAAGUACUGGCAAGAACGAACUGGAAGGGGGAAAUGCAAGAAAGGAACUUGCAUUUACCUCAACAGUAAGACGGUUUCACCCGGGUGUCUUUACAUCUUUGGACCUGACAAUCACCAAAUCAGAGCUUACUGGGACACUUCUUACUAUUAACAUGAGCCACAAACCUUAUGGAUUAUUAUAUUUGUACAAUA